rnacentral:rRNA from 1 species
GACGAACCGUGCGACCGUUGCUCGGAAUCACUGGGCGUAAAGGGCGCGUAGGCGGGAUGGCAAGUCAGUCGUGAAAUCUCUCGGCUCAACCGAGAAACGUCGGCUGAUACUGCCGUUCUUGAGGGAUGCAGAGGAGACUGGAAUUCCCGGUGUAGUGGUGAAAUGCGUAGAGAUCGGGAGGAACACCCGUGGCGAAGGCGGCCAACUGGGCCGGACCUGACGCUGAGGCGCGAAGGCGUGGGGAGCGAACGGG